CCUACGGGAGGCAGCAGUGGGGAAUCUUGCGCAAUGGGCGAAAGCCUGACGCAGCGACGCCGCGUGGGGGAAGAAGGCCUUAGGGUUGUAAACCUCUUUCAGGUGGGACGAAGCCACUCGGGUUAAUAGCCCAGAGGGUGACGGUACCGCCAGAAGAAGCCCCGGCUAACUACGUGCCAGCAGCCGCGGUAAUACGUAGGGGGCAAGCGUUGUCCGGAUUUAUUGGGCGUAAAGAGCGUGUAGGCGGUUAGGUAGGUGGGUUGUGAAAACUGGAGGCUCAACCUUCAGACGUCGACCCAAACCCCCUGGCUAGAGUCCGGAAGAGGAGAGUGGAAUUCCUGGUGUAGCGGUGAAAUGCGCAGAUAUCAGGAAGAACACCCGUGGCGAAGGCGGCUCUCUGGGACGGUACUGACGCUGAGACGCGAAAGCGUGGGGAGCGAACAGGAUUAGAUACCCUGGUAGUCCACGCCGUAAACGAUGGGUGCUAGGUGUGGGGGGUGUCAACUCCCUCCGUGCCGAAGCUAACGCAUUAAGCACCCCGCCUGGGGAGUACGGCCGCAAGGCUAAAACUCAAAGGAAUUGACGG
rnacentral:rRNA from 1 species